rnacentral:lncRNA from 1 species
AUCCUGCUUCCAGAUGCAAGACUCUGAGCAGGCACAAGGACAUUCCCGAAGCAGCUGGGAGCAGGGAGCUUGAGGUCAAAAUCCAAAGUCUAGUGGCUUCCAGCUUGGCCCUCACUUCGCCCUCCUUCUCCUCUUCUUGGCCCUCAGAUAUUUAGAAUGAUGCAUUACACUCCGUAGUGGUUUGUGUAAGUGUCCCCCCCCCCCCAGCCCUGGCAUCUAGACACUUGGUGUGGUCCCCACUUGGUGGCGCUGUGUGGGGAGGCUGUGCCACAGUCUGCUUCAUUCAGCUCCCUGAGGUUAGCACUGUCUGAUAUUACUAACUGGAAUUUUCCAGGAAUAAAAAAAAAA